rnacentral:tRNA from 1 species
GGGGGUAUCGUCCAAAGGAGAGGACACUCGCCCUCUAAGCGAUUGAUGGGGGUUCAAUUCCCCUUACCCCUUCCA